GCAAUGUGGUGUUUAGGUCGUUCCGCAGACGCACUGCUCCACCCUAAGUCCAAUAAUGAGUACGGUGGUACGGACAUGGCCCAUUGAGGGUGAAAGGCCCGUGGGGGUGGAGAUCAGGCGAGACAGUGCUACUCUGGGAGGACCUUGGAGUCGGGUUGUUUGUGAAUGCAGCCCAAAGUGGGUGGUAAACUCCAUCCAAGGCUAAAUACAAGCACGAGUCCGAUAGAGAACAAGUACCGUGAGGGAAAGUUGAAAAGUACUCUGAAGAGAGAGUAAACAGUGCGUGAAGCCGCUCAGAGGUAAACGGGUGGAGUUGAACUGUGAGUUCCGAGGGUUCAGCUGGUGACGAUGAUUGGGCUUGGCUAAAUUGGCCGGGCUCUGAGGUCUGUUUAGCUACAGGUCUCCGCCUUCGGGUGGGGAUGCGCGAUACACUCGUUGAGUGUUGCGCGCCUCAGGGUAACCGGGUCUGGUCGCCAGUGCACUCCCUCGGGACGGUCACCACGACCGGCAUGUCGUCUGUCUGUUGCGGUUAAACCGGCCGUGCAUUGUCCUUGUGGCUUUGUGCGGUCGGGACGGCAGGUAGCUCGUUGGUUUGUUCGCAGACUUUCGGGUGUAAUCAGCUGACUGCGAUUUGACUGUGCGGUGUGUCGGGGACGGCGGCUUGAGGUGUGUGCGUGCGUACCAGUCUGCUGGCGUGUCCGUGUUAGGUUGCUCAGUUGCUCACGUAGUGGGCCAAGCGGCGACUGGGACGCGUGCGGUGGGCGGUUGCGUGCGUGGCACUAUUCUUGGGCCUAUAGUCUGUGGUGUUGCGGUAGACGAUCCACCCGACCCGUCUUGAAACACGGACCAAGGAGAGUAACAUGUGCGCGAGUCAUUGGGCGUAACGAAACCCAAAGGCGCAGUGAAAGUAAAGGCUUGGCUUGUCCAGGCUAAGGUGAGAUCCUGUCGUUUCUUACGCGUGGUACCACCAAGCAUCGAGCGGCAGGCGCAUCACCGGCCCGUCCCAUGGCAUUGGCAGUCGAAUAUACAGUACAGUCGGGGCGGAGCAAGAGCGUACAUGUUGAGACCCGAAAGAUGGUGAACUAUGCUUGUGCAGAUUGAAGCCAGAGGAAACUCUGGUGGAGGAUCGCAGCGAUUCUGACGUGCAAAUCGAUCGUCAGACAUGAGUAUAGG
rnacentral:rRNA from 1 species